CCUACGGGAGGCAGCAGUGGGGAAUAUUGCACAAUGGGGGGAACCCUGAUGCAGCGACGCCGCGUGGGUGAAGGAGUCCUUCGGUACGUAAAGCCCUAUCAGCAGGAAAGAAAAUGACGGUACUUGACUAAGAAGCCCCGGCUAACUACGUGCCAGCAGCCGCGGUAAUAAGGCGGGGGCAAGCGUUAGCCGGAUUUACUGGGGUGAAAGGGAGCGUAGACGGCAGUGCAAGUCCGGCGUGAAAGCCCGGGGCUCAACCCUGGGACUGCUCUGGAAACUGCAAAGCUGGAGUGCGGGAGGGGCAGGCGGAAUUCCUGGUGUAGCGGUGAAAUGCGUAGAUAUCCGGAGGAACACCGGCGGCGAAGGCGGCCUGCUGGACCGUAACUGACGUUGAGGCUCGAAAGCGUGGGGAGCAAACAGGAUUAGAUACCCUUGUAGUC
rnacentral:rRNA from 1 species